rnacentral:tRNA from 1 species
UCCCCCGGUAGCUCAGUUGGUAGUAGCGCUUGUUUGAAGAACAAGAGGUCGUCGGAUCGAAACCGACCUGGGGGGU